rnacentral:rRNA from 1 species
GCUGGAAUUGCUAGUAAUGGCAGGUCAGCAUACUGCCGUGAAUACGUUCCCGGGCCUUGUACACACCGCCCGUCGCACCAUGAGAGUUGGAAAUACCCGAAGCCUGUGAGCUAACAGUAAUGAAGCAGCAGUCGAAGGUAGAAUCAAUGAUUGGGGUGAAGUCGUAACAAGGUAGC